rnacentral:ncRNA from 2 species
GAAAGCAACUGGGGGAGUCCAUCACGCAGGGCUGAGAGGACGGAAGCGAUUGACCGUCGACCCUUUGCACCUGAUCCAGAUCAUGCUGGCGCAGGGAAGUGGUUGCAAGCAAAA